AGGAACAUCUGAACAGCAUCACUCCAUGUGCUAGAGCCUCCCAAGACCAGAUAGGAGAUUCCACAGAAGGUUGUGGAGAAUAGCAGGGCUAAGAUUCUGUGGGACUUCCAGAUCCAGACGGACAGGCAGGU